rnacentral:rRNA from 1 species
UAAUACGGAGGGUGCAAGCGUUAUCCGGAUUCACUGGGUUUAAAGGGAGCGUAGGCGGAUAGGUAAGUCAGUGGUGAAAUCCUGCAGCUUAACUGCAGAACUGCCGUUGAUACUAUCUAUCUUGAAUGUCGUUGAGGUUUGCGGAAUAGGUCAUGUAGCGGUGAAAUGCAUAGAUAUGACCUGGAACACCUAUUGCGAAGGCAGCAGGCUAAACGAAUAUUGACGCUGAGGCUCGAAAGCGUGGGGAUCAAACAGGAUUAGAUACCCUGGUAGUCCACGCCCUAAACGAUGAUUACUCGACAUUUGCGAUACACUGUAAGUGUCUGAGCGAAAGCAUUAAGUAAUCCACCUGGGAAGUACGACCGCAAGGUUG